rnacentral:rRNA from 1 species
CCUGCACGAAUGGCGUAAUGAUGGCCAGGCUGUCUCCACCCGAGACUCAGUGAAAUUGAACUCGCUGUGAAGAUGCAGUGUACCCGCGGCAAGACGGAAAGACCCCGUGAACCUUUACUAUAGCUUGACACUGAACAUUGAGCCUUGAUGUGUAGGAUAGGUGGGAGGCUUUGAAGCGUGGACGCCAGUCUGCGUGGAGCCGACCUUGAAAUACCACCCUUUAAUGUUUGAUGUUCUAACGUGGACCCGUGAUCCGGGUUGCGGACAGUGUCUGGUGGGUAGUUUGACUGGGGCGGUCUCCUCCUAAAGAGUAACGGAGGAGCACGAAGGUUGGCUAAUCCUGGUCGGACAUC